rnacentral:rRNA from 1 species
UAUGGCGACCGGCGCACGGGUGAGUAACACGUAUCCAACCUGCCGAUGACUCGGGGAUAGCCUUUCGAGAGAAAGAUUAAUACCCGAUGGCAUAGUUCUUCCGCAUGGUGGAACUAUUAAAGAAUUUCGGUCAUCGAUGGGGAUGCGUUCCAUUAGGUUGUUGGCGGGGUAACGGCCCACCAAGCCUUCGAUGGAUAGGGGUUCUGAGAGGAAGGUCCCCCACAUUGGAACUGAGACACGGUCCAAACUCCUACGGGAGGCAGCAUG